CAAGCUCUCACUCAACUAGUUGCAAGGACUCUGGACCGCAGGUAGGAACCUCUAAACUCAGGGUGGACUUGCCUUGGGGUAGGUGGGCACUCAGUAUAGCAGAGCAGUCCUUGAAAAAGGACAGACAUGGCUUUUAAUUACAACAGCUUCCUACCACUUUGCUUUCCAAUCUAUCUUGAGGGAGAAUCCAUAACUUACCACCUCCAGGAGAAGACCCUGAAUGUACCAUCACGCACAAUCAUACAUGGGGGUUAGAUAAGUUAUCCGAGCAGCUCUCUUCCAUCUAACUUAUAGGAAUCUAAUUUAGAAGCAAAACUGCUACCUUCCAUACAUGAAAUUCUAGAGUGAAAACACUUCAGACUCCUACAAGACUUAAAGUGGAGGAAGCAUUGUUUCAAGGUUAAUGGCAUUCCAACAUUAAAAACAUUGUUGCAUUAAAUAUGUGCAAUAUUGACACCUUUGGCAUGCAAAAAAUCAUGACUCAUGCUGUAGAAAAACCAUGAGACUUGCUUAAAAAUCAUAAAAUUGGGGCAUUUUUGUUUUGUUUCUUUUAGGUGCAGUUGGAUUAUGGUUUCAAACUUUUCUCAAGAGCCAGGAGGACUAGGAACUUAGCUUUGAUGAUUUUAAAAGCAACAAAAUCUGGACCUUAACAAAACCAACACCAUCUCAGAUGCAGGGUUCUGGAUAGACAGCAAGAUGCACUGUAGUAUUUACGUGAAAAAAUUCAUAUUUGAUCUGUCUACAAACCAAAACACCUCCUAUGAGACUGAGUGGCAUUCUCAGAGGCACCUAACCCAGUUGUGUCAAAGUCCUGUUGAAACUCAAGCAAUUGAAGGUGUACAAGUUUCUACCUCCUGACCCCAAGCAAGGAUGUAAGCCAAGACCCUCUUAGUGCCAAUGGGAGAUUUGAGUGUUUUAGGUACACUGUAGUGACUCUGUAUUCCUGCUACUGAAAAUAAUUGCCACCUAACAAAGCUGGAUGAAUGGCAACACAAUGGCAAAUGAAACUGUGUUGACAAAUGUAAGGGAAUGAAUGUCCAUUGGAAUAAUUUGACCUUUUUGUGUAGAUGUAGUUGGGUUUUAAAUAAACUUGGUCUGUAUGGCU